rnacentral:rRNA from 1 species
GUCCUAGCCUUAAACGAUGAUGACUUGGUGUGUCGGGUUUUCAGUCCCGAUGUGCCGGAGCUAACGCGUUAAGUCAUCCGCCUGGGGAGUACGGUCGCAAGACUGAAACUCAAAGGAAUUGACGGGGACCCGCACAAGCGGUGGAGCAUGUGGUUUAAUUCGACGCAACGCGAAGAACCUUACCUAGGCUAGAAUGCGAAGGACGAGGGUGCAAAACAUCUUCUUCUAUGGGAAACCAUAGACCUGAAGCAAGGUGCUGCAUGGCUGUCGU